rnacentral:rRNA from 1 species
CACGCACACACGCGCGGCAUAUCAAUAAGCGGAGGAAAAGAAACUAACAAGGAUUCCCUUAGUAACGGCGAGUGAAGCGGGAAGAGCUCAAAUUUGAAAUCUUCAAGGUUUUACCUUGACGAAUUGUAGUUUAUAGAAGUGUUUUCUGUAGUGGAGUUUGGUAAAAGUUCUUUGGAAUAGGACAUCAUAGAGGGUGAGAAUCCCGUAUUUGGUCCAUUAUCUUCAGCUGUGUGAUACACUUUCAAAGAGUCGGAUUGUUUGGGAAUGCAGUCCAAAAUGGGUGGUAAAUUUCAUCUAAAGCUAAAUAUUGGCGAGAGACCGAUAGCGAACAAGUACCGUGAGGGAAAGAUGAAAAGAACUUUGAAAAGAGAGUUAAACAGUACGUGAAAUUGUCAAAAGGGAAGCGUUUGACACCAGUGUUGUUUUUCCGAAAAUCAAUUACGAAUGUUUUAGUUUUUAAGAAGUUAUGACUUCAUCGGCUUGCUUCUCUCUUUACGAAACUUUCUUAAUGCACUUUUCGGUUAACAAGUCAACAUCAAUUUCUUUUGUUGUAAAAGGGUAUGAGGAAGGUGACUUUCUUUUCGGAGAAAGUGUUUAUAGCCUUGUGCCUCUGCAAUCGGAGAGAUUGAGGUCUGCAGCGUAGAUCCUUCGGGGUCAGAUACGUUUGUGCUAAGUUAUAGCUUUUCAUAGACAACUUGUUGACUAUGUUCAGUCUUGUAGCUUACUCGCUGACGCUAUUUUACCUACGCUUAGGAUGUUGAUAGUCACAGCGUGUAC